AUUGAACGCUGGCGGCAUGCCUUACACAUGCAAGUCGAACGGCAGCGGGCCCUUCGGGGUGCCGGCGAGUGGCGAACGGGUGAGUAAUGCAUCGGAACGUACCCGGGAGAGGGGGAUAACCGGCCGAAAGGCUGGCUAAUACCGCAUGAACUCGGAAGAGCAAAGCGGGGGACCUUCGGGCCUCGCGCUCUCGGAGCGGCCGAUGUCCGAUUAGGCUAGUUGGUGGGGUAAAGGCCCACCAAGGCGACGAUCGGUAGCGGGUCUGAGAGGACGAUCCGCCACACUGGGACUGAGACACGGCCCAGACUCCUACGGGAGGCAGCAGUGGGGAAUCUUGGACAAUGGGCGCAAGCCUGAUCUAGCAAUGCCGCGUGGGUGAAGAAGGCCUUCGGGUUGUAAAGCCCUUUCGGCGGGGAAGAAAUCGGUCAGGCGAAUAGUCUGGCCGGAUGACGGUACCCGCAGAAGAAGCACCGGCUAACUACGUG
rnacentral:rRNA from 1 species